GAUGAACGCUGGCGGCGUGCCUAAUACAUGCAAGUCGAGCGAACAGACGAGGAGCUUGCUCCUUUGACGUUAGCGGCGGACGGGUGAGUAACACGUGGGUAACCUACCUAUAAGACUGGGAUAACUUCGUGAAACCGGAGCUAAUACCGGAUAAUAUUUCGAACCGCAUGGUUCGAUAGUUAAAGAUGGCUCUGCUAUCACUUAUAGAUGGACCUGCGCCGUAUUAGCUAGUUGGUAAGGUAACGGCUUACCAAGGCAACGAUACGUAGCCGACCUGAGAGGGUGAUCGGCCACACUGGAACUGAGACACGGUCCAGACUCCUACGGGAGGCAGCAGUAGGGAAUCUUCCGCAAUGGGCGAAAGCCUGACGGAGCAACGCCGCGUGAGUGAUGAAGGUCUUCGGAUCGUAAAACUCUGUUAUUAGGGAAGAACAAACGUGUAAGUAACUGUGCACGUCUUGACGGUACCUAAUCAGAAAGCCACGGCUAACUACGUG
rnacentral:rRNA from 1 species